AAGUGGCUGUGGAAUGACCACACAACUGGGGUUGGACUCCUGCAGCUCCUAGAAGUUUGCACUACUUAGACUGUUGUUACACAAUGAGCAACGCGAGGUGCAGGGGGUGGGAGGUGGGGGUUGAAGCACUCUUCUUCCGCAGAACCUGAAAGAAGAGCUACUCGCAGAUCCUUGAACAGGAGCUAUUUACCUGAGCAGAAAAUGCUUGCAACAUAAAAAGCAAGUCAAAUGUCACAAACCAAUCUGGGGAAAUGUCACUGUGUAAGAAUAAGUUCCUAGGAUGCGCAACAACACGGGGAGAGAAAAAAGGGAUACCGGCAGAUUUUAGCCCGGAAGAACAGUCUGGCUGGGGACCGAACCCAGGGCCUUGCGCUUGCUAGAACCUACCUAUGCGUCUGAAGGAGAGAGUCACCACCCGCCCGCAAGCUGGCCUCUGACCUUCACGGAGAAGCCACACCAUGUGCACACUCAAAGAAUAAAAGAAUAAAUGAGGGCUGGAGAGAUGACUCAGCAGCUAAGAGCACUGACUGCUCUUCCAGACGUCCUGAGUUCAAUUCUCAGCAACCACAUGUCGACUCACAACCAUCUGUAAUGGGAUGCGAUGCCCUCUUCUGCUGUGUCUGAAGACAGCGACAGUGUACUCACAUACAAAUAAAUAAAUAAAUCUUUAAAAAGAAAAGAAAAAAGAAUAAAUACAUAACUUUUCGAGUCUGAGGUCCACAUCAUAAAAAAAAAUACAUAAAUGUAAUGGAAAUUUUAAAGGGGUCAGGGGUCAAGUGUGCCUGCAGAGAACCAGAAUUCGAUCUCGGGCACUCACUUCAGGUGGCUCACUACUGCCUAUAAGUCCAGCUUGAGGGAAUCCACCCUCUUCUGGCUUCUGGGACAUGCCAUACAUGUAACACACACACACACACACAAAUUAAUCUUUAAAGAAACCUGUAUCAAAGUAAUGUAAGAUGGUAUUCUCUUCCUUUGAUUUUAGUAAAUCUAAAAUGGAAUUUCAAAAAUAAAAGCAAAUUAUGUAUAGCACAGGGAAAUAUCUAUAGCACAGAUUCGAUCUGGUGUGCAAGGUAAGCAGGGCACACUACAGCUUGAGUUCCUGAGUGAGCCCCGAGUCCAGCAGCAUCAGUGUGUGCACAAGGCAAACUGCCAGGAGCCAAGCCACUUACACACUCUGUCUCAGGUAUGGUUCAGGAAUGUCAAACCCACUUACACCCUCUGAGAAACUUAGCCAGUUAUCUGUUCUUAUCAGCAUACCUGCAAUUUGAGGCUUAGGGCUAUAGGGAGGGUAGUGGCAGUGAUGGAUCGAUGGGUCCUGGGUGGCCUUCUCGCCUGCUUGCCUUUAUAAGCCACUGUUUUUAAAUAAAGUUUGAGAGCUUGAUCAGGCCAUAAACUUGCGCUCCUUCUUUGCACCUCCUGUCCCC
rnacentral:lncRNA from 1 species